CCUACGGGUGGCAGCAGUGGGGGAUAUUGCACAAUGGGGGAAACCCUGAUGCAGCGAAGCCGCGUGGGUGAAGAAGGGCUUCGGCGCGUAAAGCCCUGUCAGCAGGGAAGAAAAUGACGGUACCUGAAGCAGAAGCCCCGUCUAACUACGUGACAGAUGCCGUGGGAAUAUGUCGGGGGCAAGCGUUAUCCGGAUUUACUGGGUGUAAGGGGGGCGCAGACGGCGAUGCAAGCCAGGAGUGAAAGCCCGGGGCCCAACCCCGGGACUGCUCUUGGAACUGCGUGGCUAGAGUGCAGGAGGGGCAGGCGGAAUUCCUGGUGUAGCGGUGAAAUGCGUAGAUAUCAGGAGGAACACCGGUGGCGAAGGCGGCCUGCUGGACUGCAACUGACGUUGAGGCCCGAAAGCGUGGGGAGCAAACAGGAUUAGAUACCCCGGUAGUC
rnacentral:rRNA from 1 species